GACUGCAAAUCUUCCCAGGCAGUCUAGGGCGGGCACCACAUUUUUCUCUUUCCGUGGAAUCCCUAAACCGUAGAAUUCCCGUGGAGGAGAGAAGCCCUAGAAAGGUAGAGGAAGGGCGGAUACCGGGCCAUCGAUUGUCUUCUUGCUCGAAGUUCCGGUUCAGAACGCCAUGGAAGAGGAGGAGGAGGCCGAGAGCGGCUCCCCGAAGAGGUACGUCCACAUCGAUCGCGUCUACACGAAUUCCUUGAGUUGUACUGUCCAAGCCGGUCCAUCAAAGGCAAUGUCGAGGAAAAUCAGAGCCAGGAAAUUUCUGGAGCGUCUUGAAUCGGAACCAAGCAGCGUGCCGGAACCGGUGCCCAGGCCGCCGAUCGUCCAUGUCUACCGUAGAAGGAAAAAGCGGCCGCGAUCGUCUUCUGGUGUGUGUGCGAAGACCUCGUACGCUGAUUCUGCGGUGUGUCCGACGAGAGACUCUGUUGAAGGUAUGGAUGGGCUGCAUUCUGGGGAUGAUCAUAAGAAGAGAGGCCGGGUGAGGGGGUUCAAGCACGAGCUUAACAAUUUGGGCGUCGAUCGGAAACAGUUCGUGGACUUGGGUUGGAGCAGAAAGCGAGAGAGAAGGGAAAGGAAAGCGAGGCAUGGCCCGAACUCUUUCAAGAGUUUGUGGAGUGGAGGUAGCCGUUACAGGAUAGACGUGCUGAAGCACUCGCGCACGAGCUCUGUCAAGAAGUGGGUUCAGUUGAGUUUGGAAAAUGUUGAUCCGACCACAUUAACCGGAUUUAAAUGCAAGGUGUUUUGGCCGUUGGACAAUGAUUGGUAUGUUGGAUCCAUCACACAGUAUGAUCCAGAAAAAGCAGAGCACCAUAUCAGGUAUGAAGAUGGUGAUGAUGAAUGGACUUCUCUUUAUGGGCAGAAGAUAAAAUUCCAUCUUUCUAAAGAUGAAAUGAGACAAAAGAACUUGAAAUGUUGGGACCCAGAAAGAGGUUUGGAUUAUGAUGAUAUAAUUAUGUUGGCAGCCAGCUUUUAUGAUAAUGAGGAACUUGAGCAUGGAGAUGUUAUAUGGGCAGAGAUUAUGGGAAAUGCUAUGUGGCCAGCACUUGUUACAAAUGAGAUACAUGUGGAUGGAUAUGAAGGCCUUCAGCAGCAUCCAAGAGAGAAACUAGUUCCAGUUCGAUUUUUUGGGACUUACGACUAUGCAAGGGUUAACAGAAAGCAGGUAGUUACAUUACUCAGAGGAAUUCUUUUUUCCUUUCAUUUGAAGUGCCAAGAUUCACGUUUCAUUGACGGUUUGGAAGAAACAUGGAGGUACCUGAGAGAACAGAAGCUUCCAGACAAAAUGAUGCAUUUGCAGUGUGGGAAUACAAUUGAUGAUCCUGAUGUUGGGAGUGUGGGGGAUGAUACAAGCAAUGUAGAGGAAAAUCAUUUAUCUGAUGAAAAGAAUGAACAUAUUGAGGAAUGCUCUAGUCCCUGUCCAUUGGAAGUGGGGGAUCUUCGAGUGACUAGGCUAGGAAAGAUUGUGAAAGAUUCUGACCAUUUCCACAGUGAACGUUGUAUAUGGCCUGUGGGCUAUAGUGCAGUAAGAAAGUUCACGUCUGUUUCAGAUCCAAAUGAUGUUUCAGAGUAUAAGAUGGAAGUUCUAAGGAAUCCAAAAGCAAAGUUGUUGCCUUUGUUCAGGGUUACAUUGGAUAAUGGUCAGCAGAUUAAUGGGAGCUCCCCAUCAGCAUGCUGGAAAAAGAUUUACUGCCUGAUUAGAAAAGCAGGAAGAAAUCUAUGUAAUGAUCAUGGACUUGAAGGUAGAACAAUGAGACGCCGAUCUGGCUCUUAUAUGUUUGGUUUUUGCAACAGAAAGGUUCGGAAACUCAUACAGGCUAUGGCCAACAGUAGCCCGUACUCAAAUCCAUCCAAAUAUGGUUCUCAAGACCAUGGAGAUCAUCAAUCUGGCUCUCAACCUGUUUAUAUUAACUGGAAAGAUCUUGACAGAUGUAACGUAUGCAAUAUGGAUGAGGAAUAUUCUAGCAAUCUGUUUCUGCAAUGCGACAAAUGUAGAAUGAUGGUUCAUGCACGUUGCUAUGGGGAAUCAGAACCUUGGAGUGGGAAGCUUUGGCUAUGCAAUUUAUGUCAGCCAGAUGCUCCUAGUCCUCCACCAAAAUGCUGCCUCUGUCCUGUUGUUGGCGGUGCACUGAAGAUCACCACUGAUGGACGUUGGGCUCAUCUAACAUGUGCCAUGUGGAUACCUGAAACUUGCCUUGUUGAUGUGAAGAAAAUGGAACCAAUUGAUGGUUUAAACAUGAUACACAAAGAUCGUUGGAAGCUCUUAUGCAGCAUCUGCGGUGUACCUUAUGGGGCAUGUAUUCAGUGUUCAAAUAGUUCUUGUCGAGUAGCUUAUCAUCCACUUUGUGCACGUGCAGCCAAUCUUUGUGUCGAGCUUGAGGAUGAGGAGAACAUCCUCCAUCUCCUUUUUGCUGAUGAGGAUGAUGAUCAUUGCAUACGUCUUCUUUCCUUUUGCAAGAAGCAUAGGCAACCAGCGAACAAGCAAGUAGCAGCCGACAAGCAAGUAUACAAUGCAUUGCUACCAUGUCCCAGCUACACUCCUUCUACUAAUUUUUCAGGCUGUGCCCGAAGUGAGCCUUAUGAUUUUCUUGGAAGAAGGGGCCGUAAAGAGCCCGAUGCCCUUGCCGCUGCAUCUUCAAAGCGGUCGUAUGUUGAGAACAGACCUUAUAUAGUUGGUGGCUACCGCCAAAAUGGGGCAAUUGAGGAUGCUUCCUCCUAUGGCGUCCUUGCACCAACUUGUCACCCCACAGUCUCCUGCCAGUUGGAAAGGCCAAGGUUUCUUUCUUUGCAUGAGAAAUAUGAGUACAUGAAGGCUACCUUCAGGAAGAGGCUUGUAUUUGGGAAAUCAGCUAUUCAUGGAUUUGGGGUCUUUGCGAAGCAUGCACUUAGAGCUGGUGAUAUGGUCAUUGAAUAUACAGGAGAGCUUGUCAGACCAAUAAUUGCAGACAUACGUGAAAGUCUUAUAUACAAUUCAUUGGUGGGUGCUGGAACAUACAUGUUUCGAAUUGAUGACAAACGGGUUAUUGAUGCUACAAGGGCGGGAAGUCUUGCUCAUUUAAUCAAUCAUUCUUGUGAACCAAAUUGCUAUUCACGAGUGAUAAGUGUUUCUGGUGACGAGCAUAUAAUCAUUUUUGCUAAACGUGACAUCGACCAGUGGGAGGAGUUGACAUAUGACUAUAGAUUCUUUUCAAUUGAUCAGCAGCUUGCUUGCUAUUGUGGCUUCCCAAGAUGCCGAGGUGUUGUUAAUGAUACUGAAGCAGAGGAACAAGUGUCUAUAAUACGUGUCCCUCGUCAUGAGUUGACAGACUGGAAAGCUGAAUAAGUUCCCCACUUCUAUUCUAUGGCAUCUGGUUUCAAGCUCAGAUGCAAAACUUUGAACUCGGAUGUCGGAAGGAUCACAUGAGUUCUACAUGAGAUGCAAAGCUUUGAACCCAACUGUGCUCGAAUUGUGUAUCCAGCGCUUCAAGGUGUGAUGGACAGCUUCCACCAGCAUGAAGAACUUGCAGAGAAUAUUACAAUCAAAAUAAGUCGUCCAAUUCAUUGUUCAAAAAUUAAAUUAUAUCAUUUAACAUUGCCAUUUUGUUGCAGCUUUUUUGCUUUUUUAAUCCUGACUAGAUUCAAGACCUGUGGGAAACCAUGAACGCACACCUAUGUAACAUGGGGACACUAUACAGGCUGCAUACCCGUGUCUGUACACCACUUUCUAGACACAGCUGAAUGACAACGAGCGAUGGAGGCAACAUAUGGUGACUGGUGACAGAUGAUGGCUGGUGAUAGAUGGUGACGAAACGAUGGCAGUGAGGCGAAAUUUUUCUAUUUUUGUUCUUUUUUUCUUGCCAUUCAGAUUUCUCUUGCAGCAAAUACUUGGAAUGGUAUGGUUCAUACUUGUUUUAUUGUAGAUUAUUAUCAUUGAUAAUGGGCUAGACUCUAGGACACAUGGGCACUUCAUUUCAGUCAAUGCACACGUGUCGACACGUCCAGACACAGGUGCAGGUUUGGACAUGGCUCAGUCAUGGGUUUGACCGUAUCGGGUGUAGUCAACUCACUUGUGGAUGACUCCGUCCAUUUUUCGACUCAGUCAAAGUUGAUCGAGUCUAAUUUUGUCUCAAAUUUGGGGCUUCUUUUAACCCCUGCACAUGUGUGUAAGGUUGAGCCUUCAACCCUUCUGGCGAUUCUUGAAGGCCAUUAAGUUACAUUCUUGCCCUUCUUCACUCUUAUUAGUAUUUGCAUAUUUAAGUGUUAUGAAUAUGUAAUAAUGCAAAUAUGCUAUUGUUUUAUUUCUAAAGCAUUAUCAUUUUCUUUUUGGCAUGCAAAUCAUAGAAGUUAUAUAGGACGAUUAUGUUACAAUUUUGUGUUCUUGUUACAAUUUUUAUGUCUAUUGUUUUUACUAUAGGAACUUGUCAGAGAAAAGGAGCACUUUUUUAUUAAUAAUUUGUUUGUUGGUUUCUUCACUUUCUUCAUAAUUUAUAGAUUAUGAAUCAUGAAUGCAUUAUUUUUUUCUUUUCUAUUUGAAGUCUUAUUCAUAUGUACAUACCAUAAACACACACACACACAUAUAUGUGAAAAAUGAAAUCAGUAAUUUGCCUGGUUGCCAGAUGGAUAAAUAUUUAAACCCGCUGCUAAAAACCAUCAUAAAUUGUCACUAAAGCACAAUAAACCAUGGCUACACCUUGAACUGUCACUAUGCUCCUGUGAUAGGGUGCUUUUAGCGGUAGUUUUUAAAUACCAUGUCAUCUGGCAACAUUCGACAGCCAGUUGAUUUCAAUAUAUAUAUAUAUAUAUAUAUAUAUAUAUAUAUAUAUAUAUAUAUAUAUAUAUAUAUACUCUUUUGGAAUUGGACGUUAUCCGCGCUCAUGCCCAUGUUACAUGACUAGAAUUCACCCACAAAAUGAUAUGAACAGUACUUGUGUUAUUUUUCAAGUUUCGAGUCACUAUUACUUCAAUUUAGGGUUUGUUGAUUUUGUGUUUUUAAACUCAUUGGGCGAUUGUUGAUAGGGUACAGGGGUUUUCUCAUAAAGCAGCAGAUACUUGUGUAGAAGAAACUUGGUAUAUUCAUCUUGGUUGGAUUUUUAAGUUCUUUUAUCACUUAUAAUGGGCUAGAAAAUUUACAUGCAAAAGGAUUUUUUUAAUGAACCCGAUGGAGUUGAGUUCUAUAGGUUGUCUUGUAUGACCUAAUGGUCAGCCCCGAACUUUCUCUGGUUACCGACUGAAAUAAUGUGUAGGCGCCUAGGCGGCAGGGAUUAAGAUUAGGUCACCUAGUGUUCCAUGGUGUCAUGUUAGCCCAUUUUGCAAUAUGGACUCAUUUUGUCUGACAAGUGUUGAUCACCCUUCUAAGGUGGAGGAGGUGGACAAGGAGCUAGAAUCAUGAUAAUCUUUUUAUGAUAAACAAGUUUUUUAACAUUAAUUUAAUAAGAUUAGAUAUAUGAACUAUCAGACUUAUAGGCUAUGCUAUUUGAUGCAUUAUUAUGUAUGAACUUAUGAAUUGCUUUCUUUAGUUUUGAAGUUUUUGUGGAUUGCACAUGAUGUAUGUGUGUGUCUACUCUACCUUAAAGCUGUACCCACAUUUUUUAAAAUUUCUGCAUCCAAACCAUACCCAUGGGACUUAGACAUGAACAGAUAUACGUAGUAAAUAAAUGAUACCGUUUUCUCUUUUCUCUUUUCUUUGAAGGUUAAUAAGGAACGUGAACUGUUGGUCCUAAAGUGAAUAAACUGAAGACACAUGAUUGAGGGUACAUUUGGGAAACAAGCAACAGGUAAGAUCUUCCUACAGAUAACAUACAGAACUUUUUGUGGCGAACACGUUUAGUAGAGCCCCUUUCGUCAGCAGGAAGGAUGUCUCCAAGAAGAUUCAGUUGUUGUAAGUGAAAUAUUUUAUGAGGUGAAAGAAUCUUUGUUCAUCAUGGUCAGUGAGCAUAGCAACCGAAAAGAACAAGUGCACUGAAUGCUACAAGCAAGGGGAACACCAGAAUUAUGAAAAGUCUGAGAGCACAAGCUUCAUCGGGUGAUGAAACAUGACAGACUUCCACAAGUACAAACAACUACCAUCUUUUGGGAACUCUCAAAUGGUGCCAUCAGUUUCAAAGCUCAAAUUUAGCAAGCAUGCCUGCAAUAAAAGAAUUCCUGCUUGAAGAAUAUAGUUUAAUUCUUAGCUGGCUACGAUGCUAUUGUUUUAUCCUGACGUGUUGUUACACUUAGUUGGGAUUUCCUGGCUAAUCUAGCUGGAGCAUGUCGGGGAUCAUCAGCCUCAAAAUCUGUUCCCUCUCCUGCUGAGACCCUACAAGGCGUGAGUAGCAGACUUUUUGGAGUGUGCCAUAACAAGGGACUGCGAGCAAUCGUUUGCUGUGUUUUCCUUGAGCAGUUCAAAGUGUCGCGUGCCUUCUGCCGCUGCAAAUUCUGUAGACCUGUGACGUAGUGUUUCAUCGUUGAUUCGCCACUUGCUUUUUCAUACGGCACAGGGGUGCACCUCCUUGCACUGAUGGUAGUGGUGCCUCGGAGAACUGCAAAACCCGCUUAAAGCUACCAGCAAAGUACCGAAUAAUUCGUGUCACUCCUGAAAAAACAUACAUUUGGAAAUAAAUAGAUGUAUUAAUUGGUCAUUUGCGUAACUGAAUCCCUUUAAGAAAUGUAUUAUAUUGCUAAUCUCAUUCUUAUUUCUGGA